rnacentral:rRNA from 1 species
UACGUAGGGUGCAAGCGUUGUCCGGAAUCACUGGGCGUAAAGGGUGCGUAGGCGGGUCUUUAAGUCAGGGGUGAAAUCCUGGAGCUCAACUCCAGAACUGCCCUUGAUACUGAAGAUCUUGAGUUCGGGAGAGGUGAGUGGAACUGCGAGUGUAGAGGUGAAAUUCGUAGAUAUUCGCAAGAACACCAGUGGCGAAGGCGGCUCACUGGCCCGGUACUGACGCUGAGGUGCGAAAGCGUGGGGAGCAAACAGG